rnacentral:sRNA from 1 species
ACCUGCGUUCAGGUUCGAGCCGAGCGAAGCGAGACGACAACGCGUAGCGUUGCCCGUAGGGCGAGGCCGGAGGCCGAGUCAAUCCUGCACGACCCACCA